GACGAACGCUGGCGGCGCGCCUAACACAUGCAAGUCGAACGAGAGAGAGGGAGCUUGCUUCCUCAAUCGAGUGGCGAACGGGUGAGUAACGCGUGAGGAACCUGCCUCAAAGAGGGGGACAACAGUUGGAAACGACUGCUAAUACCGCAUAAGCCCACGACCCGGCAUCGGGUUGAGGGAAAAGGAGCAAUCCGCUUUGAGAUGGCCUCGCGUCCGAUUAGCUAGUUGGUGAGGUAAUGGCCCACCAAGGCGACGAUCGGUAGCCGGACUGAGAGGUUGAACGGCCACAUUGGGACUGAGACACGGCCCAGACUCCUACGGGAGGCAGCAGUGGGGAAUAUUGCACAAUGGGGGAAACCCUGAUGCAGCGACGCCGCGUGGAGGAAGAAGGUCUUCGGAUUGUAAACUCCUGUUGUUGAGGAAGAUAAUGACGGUAC
rnacentral:rRNA from 1 species